rnacentral:rRNA from 1 species
GACGAACGCUGGCGGCGUGCCUAAUACAUGCAAGUUGAGCGCUGAAGGUUGGUACUUGUACCAACUGGAUGAGCAGCGAACGGGUGAGUAACGCGUGGGGAAUCUGCCUUUGAGCGGGGGACAACAUUUGGAAACGAAUGCUAAUACCGCAUAAAAACUUUAAACACAAGUUUUAAGUUUGAAAGAUGCAAUUGCAUCACUCAAAGAUGAUCCCGCGUUGUAUUAGCUAGUUGGUGAGGUAAAGGCUCACCAAGGCGAUGAUACAUAGCCGACCUGAGAGGGUGAUCGGCCACAUUGGGACUGAGACACGGCCCAAACUCCUACGGGAGGCAGCAGUAGGGAAUCUUCGGAAAUGGACGAAAGUCUGACCGAGCAACGCCGCGUGAGUGAAGAAGGUUUUCGGAUCGUAAAACUCUGUUGGUAGAGAAGAACGUUGGUGAGGGUGGAAAGCUCAUCAAGUGACGGUAACUACCCAGAAAGGGACGGCUAACUACGUG